GCACCCGGCUGCAGAGCCCGCGGCAGGGCGGCCCCGGGGCCCGCAGCAGCGCCCGGCCGGCCCGCAGCGAGCCGCGCAGCGCCAUCCGCCCGGGGCACCUCAGGGACGGCGCUGCCCGGACUACAACUCCCAUCCGCCCUGGGCGCUUCAGGCACGGCGCUGCCUGGACUACAACUCCCAUCCGCCCCUCGGGCACUGCGCGGCUUCGGACUACAACUCCCAUCCGCCCUAGGAGCAUCAGGCACGGCGCCGCUCCGGACUACAACUCCCACCAGCCUUUGCGGCCUCGUGCACUCCGCCGCUUCCGGCCUGCAGCUCCCCCGCCUUUGCUCAGCCUUCCACGGAAACCCUUUUUCCUACAAAUAAGAUCACUUUAAUUUCUCAGAAGUGUUUGCAGCUCUGGCCUUGGAGACAUUAUUGAAAAUAUUUAGCUCUGUGAAGAACUCUACCAGAGCCCUCCACCCCUCGCCUUCCCUGGCUGUCGAUCCAAAAUAGUCCAAGACUUUCCGAAAUUAGUGACAGACACAGGAGCCUUGUCACCCGACGCUGGGAAUUUCUCUGUGACUCUCCUCGGAGCUUGCCAUUCCUCCUGCUAUACAUGGACAGACCUCCUCUGCAGCAGCUGUACCCCAAAUUCCUCUGGGGAUCAUCUGUCUGCCCUUCUCACACCACCCACGGGAGAUUCCCUCUCCUUCCCCUGUCCACACCGUGCUGGGAUGUGUUUCCCACCCCCUUUAUAAAGCCAAGCACUUGCCCACAGCCUUCUCCCGUGGGUCCCUGUGUAAACUUUGCAGCUCUGUUUUCCCUGGACUCACAGCCCUGUCAUCAGCCCCUCAUCUCUUCCUGACCUCACUCCCCCUGGAAAGCAGCCCUACCUUCCAUCUCCUUCCUUACUGCUCCAAUGGCCUGAGCCAACCCUCCCUCCCCCCACAGUUUAUCUCUCCUCUUGCCCAUGCUCAGCCUGCUCGUGGGAUGAUGGACAAGCUAAAGGUUGAGAAAAUACAACAAAAUGCCUUUCUUAUCCUGUAAUGACCAAGGGGGAGGACACAGCCUGAUAAAAAUGACAAGCCAGGAGAAUUGAGAGCCAGACCCUUCACCUGCCUGUCCCUCAGUGCACAGAAAACACUUGAUAGACCUGCUGUGAUUGCAACUGCUGCAAGCCUGCAAAGAAAGGAAUUAAGGACUCAGCCAAUUAGAGCUGCAGGUUUCUGACCAAAGAAAUGUCCUUCUGUUACCUGUGAAGAGGAUAAUUCAAAGGCUUAUACAGGAAAAAAACCUGAAGCAGGCUGAUCAUUUGGAGCUGGUGGAAAACACAUCUGCAGCCCUGUGUUUUAUGGCCAGAGGGUUUUUCUUAGCAUCUGGUACCUGCAUAGUCCCACUGCAGUGAUGGAGGUUCACAUAACUGAUAGAUCCACCUGCUUGCUUGGGCCCAUUUCUAUUUCCAACCACUUGCUUGGCUCCUUUGUUUUUAUUGGCAUGGUUUUUGACAGCAACCACUAGUGCUGGAUCAGCCAUUUCCUGGCAGUGAGUGACCAGGAGACAAACAUUGCAUCCUCUAAAUUGCCCCAAAGAUGCUCUGCAGCAAACACUUGUGCUGCAAACAAAGCUCCAUCCACCUCCCAUUUAGACAAAUUGAACCUGAAGAGGCCACAGGCAGUGACAGAUGGGGGAGAUAACAGGCAUAAGGCUUUAGGUAUUGCUGUGGCUGCUUGAAGUAAUUGCAAGAGAAACUUGCAGGAAUUUUCUGCUCUCUUUCCUUGCUCCUGAGUCUGGAUGGAGACUGAAGCAGGCUCUUUUUGCCUCUCUGUCUGCUCUGCUCAGCCUCCCACCACCCCUGAGGCUGCCUCCUCCUCUUUCAUUUCAGAUAUUGAAGCUUUUUCAAGCUGGCACUUUCUUCCCAAGCACACCAGCAGAGCCUCACCUUGUACCCUGCAAUCACCUGGUGCUCCACAAGGCAAUUCUUUGAAAAGA